rnacentral:misc_RNA from 1 species
AAUAAUAAUAAUAAUAAUAAUAAGUGUAACCAUCAGCCUCUGAAAUUCUCAACAAAGAUAUAUAGAACAUUCAUAACACAAUUAUUUGGCAGAUCGAACUGUUCCUGGCUUAGGCCCCGUAUCGUGCAGACACAUCUUUAACCCCAGCACAUAUAGCACCAGUGCAGAACAACUGGGUAGCGCUCACUAUUAUCGUCACAACUUCAAGAGUGCGCAAGUUUGAAUCUGUCCAGCCUAUGUUAAUCUCUUUACAUGCCAAUCCCAUGGCUAGUAGAGUGAGUGACAAGGUUGUCACAGAGGAAGCAGCAGCCGCAUGUAAGUUUGAAACGUUCCAUUGAACAAUAUUAUGGAGUCCUGUAAGGGAGGUACCGAUGCCAACUACGGCAGAAAGGAGGGAGAAAAUGAUGAAGAAACCUGUUGCCAUGUUUCCCAUUGGGAAGUAUAUUGGAAAUAUGCGAGCAGGAAUUGAUAAAACAGACGCCGUUUCCCGAGAUCUUUUAAUCCCAUGAUUUACAGCCCAUGAAGCAAUUACUAUCAUAAUGAAGUAAAGGGCAAUAUUGACGAUUAAGAGCAAGAAGGCUGCCGAUUUAGAUGCUCCUGAAGCCAUGGCUAUUUAGCAGAUUGGAGGCAAAAGGACAAAAUAACUUGUUCUGUGUCACCCUUGCGUAUCUUGGAGAAGAACUAUAUAUAUGCAAUACAAGGAGUUCUUUUCCAGACUAAAAGUAUAAAAGUGGUCUUUUUAUGCAUAAUUUUUGUUAUUUUCAUUAUAAAAAUGGAUUUCUGGACUUUCUUAAUUUCCAAGAAAUGUCUUAAAUUCCUGACUUGCCUUACUGAAGAGGAAGGAAUCAAACCAAGCCUUGAAUUUGGGUCUCUGGGUUACUUUUUUCUGGAAUAUUUUAGGCUCUGCAGACAGUGAAGGAAUAAAGUUUGCUUGUAAUCCUUUGUAAGCUCUAAAAAGCUCUAAAAUAAUUUUUCAGGCAUUAAUUAAUUGUGUGCAGUUUUCCCUUCUCUUUGCGACACACAAGCUUUUUUGGGAUGUUGGACAGAUACAUGUAAAUGAGAAAAUUCUGGACGUAAGCAUAGACCCGGUCAAGGGCCAGUCCAGAAUCGAAAACAGGCUAGAGUGGGAUCAAUUCAUUCGAAAUUGGAACCAUAACAGAAUUAUCAAAAUCAGUUUAAAAUCGAAUCAAAUUCAGAAUUGAACCAAACUAAAAUCCAAAUUGAAGACCUUGCAUUUCGGUUUGAGUCUCCCCCAAGCCGCCCAAAACCGGCCCUUUCGCCAGGUCUACGUAAUCAUGUGUCCAAUUGCCAGAGUUCCUUCUGUGUACCAUAUUUACUGACUGAAAAAAUGAGAACAAAGAAAGUAAAUGGUGAAGAGGAAUGAUAAAAGGAUGCCUAAUAAAGCCACCACCACAGAUCAGUGACUAAUAAUCAACAGACCAACUAAUAUUCAGAGAACCGUGAGCCUUUGAAGACCAUUCUAAGUACCAAGUGAAACAGUGAGGUUGGUGUCUUAUUGGCUAGCCACUCCAAGACUCAAGUUAGAGAUGUUGAUUGAGAGUGAGAGAAUAAGUAAUUAAAAGUUCAGUAAUCAAUUUGGCAUAGUAAACAUAUCUGACUAAUGUUAUUUUUGUUAGACUAUAUGCCAAGUAGUCAUUGUAGCUAUCUGCUCGGUUCGUCUGAUGAGCAUCUACACUUAUUGUUAUCUUGUUCAUGUUUGUUCAACUAUACCUUUCUGAGCAAUCUUUUGCUCGGCCUAAAACACGUCUUCUUUUACUCGGUUUGGUUAGCCUGGAUUUCAUUUGCUCAGUAUGGAUGGUCCUAACCAUGUGAUGGUCAAUCUGGCUCCUCACUGAGUACUGACACUUUGACUAGCAUAUUGGAUUCUUACACCGAGCACUAACUUUUUGACUCGAUUUUGGGCGGGUAGUAUCACAAGCCAAAAUACAUGACUCAACCGAAACUUAAAUCUCAUCAUUUACAGUCUAUGCAGUGAUUACCUUUACACACUGAAAUAUGGUUGAUAUUGAGACACUGAGCAUCAAGGACAUGAAAAGGUAAAGCCAUGACCUUUGUAGCUCAGAAACAGGACAUCAUAAAUUUAAUUUGGUGACUCUAGUAUGUAAUUAUUUUUUGAACUGUAAAAACAGUACCAAAGAAGGUGGUCCUGGGGCUUGUUACAGCAGCACUCCAAUUUCUAAUUUUCUUGUCUUUUUCUGCCUCUUUCAAUGACAAGAAAGUAAAAAAAAAACAACUACUGUUACGUCUAAUAUCAUCAUUCGUUUCAACUCUAGGCACUUCAACUAUAAAGGCUAAUCAAACAAAUCCAGAACAUCAAUGUGAUAUCACCAAAUUAAAAUGUGCAGACAUUGUCAAAAAGCGGGAGAAAAAGACCAGGAUGUCAAUGGUUCAAACAUCAACCAAUUGCUCAUAAGUGGAAACUAAUAGUGAAGAGACUCUCAUCCAUUUGUAUCUUCCAUCUGCGUGCCCAUUUUACAAGCUUGGGCAUAAACUGUCUACUGACAUCGGGACCUUUAUUUACGAAGAUCUUUCCUAAUGACUGAUAACUGAGAAGAGAAAACUUUCCCUGAGGACAGGCCAACUAAAUUCAAGCCAUUACUGCCUACGUCCGUCAGGUUGUCUUCAACCAAAUAACAUUAAACUUUCAAGGCCAACUUCUGAGCAGCAAGAGCUUCAGCCUCGAGGGUUGGUUCCCACAAAAUUGUAGUUUCUGCCAGUAGUGAGGUCACCACAUAAGGGUCCAUGUUUGAAGCUGGACGCCGAUCUUCCAAGUAACCUUUGCCCUUCUUCUCAGUAUCACGCCCCACCCGGAUUGAGCAACCACGAUUAGCCACUCCCCAAGAAAAUGUGUUGAUGUUGGCUGUUUCAUGUUUUCCAGUCAACCUUCUCUCAUUUCCUUCACCAUAAGCAUUAAUGUGUUCAUUAUGGCGAAGUGACAGAUUCAAGAUUGCUUUCUUUAUCACUUCAUAGCCACCGUCCUCCCUCAUCCUCUUUGUGCUGUCGAAAAAAAAAACAAAAGAGUAUAGUCAACAUUAUCAUUGUAAAACUCAUUAUUAUUGUAAAACUUAGGUAGAUUUUCAUAUGAGAGAGUUCAUAUUAAAGGACUAGUAAUAUCAUAUUGCCUGUAAUUAGUGUGACAUCCUGCACCAUUCCAAUCACCCUGUUGGCGCAAAGAAGGGAGAGUUUUACAUAAUCUCACAUUAAAAAAUAUUUUGUUUCAAGAAGGCAAAAAAAACCAUAUGAUGAUUUACAUUACCUCAAUUGGUUUUGGAUCAAGUGAAAGAACAACACCAGCUUGUUCAGUGAUUCUCUGUGAGAAAGAGGACAAACAAAACAUCAAUAGUUUAAUGUUAAACCAAUUUUGCGUAAAAUAAAAUUGAAUUUCUCCUAUUUCCAGUUUGGGGUUUUUCAAAAAUUGAUGGCCAUCUUAUCAAAGGCAGAACCAGAAAACUUGAAAUGCAGCAAGAAACUAUUGUGAGAAAUGCAAUAAGUUGCACAUGAUUGACUCCAAAACAAUUCGAUUAGGAACUAUUCAGAAAGAAAAAAAGCAGUGAAACCUAUCACUAGGACUGCUGAUAAGGUUAUGAAUGGCCAAUAAAUGGGCUUAGCAACCCUAAAUCUUCCUGAUGAUGUAAACCUAACGGCCUAACCUGCAUGAAAUGGUGGAAAAAUGUUCAUACAACCAAUCCCUACUAGUUUGGUAUUGAGGAUUACUCGAGUUGACUUGUAGGAACAUGCUUUUUCCAGCAAUUGUUUUGUUCUUACAGAGUUCAUUUCUUUCCUUUGUCAUAAUCUAUUGAAAUAACCACGACAGAUAAAUUACCUCAAGAAUGUAUCUUGAACACCAUAUAUGAUCUGCAGCAUCAAUUCCCACACUGGGUCCCACCUGAUACUCCCACUGGCCAGGCAUAACCUCUCCAUUGGUGCCACUAAUGUUAAUUCCAGCAUAUAAACAGGCCUUGUAAUGAGCAUCUGAUAUGUCUCGACCAAAAGAUUUAUCAGCCCCAGCUCCACAGUAAUAAGGACCCUGAGGACCAGGAUAGCCUCCAACAGGCCAGCCCAAAGGCCACUUCACAUUUGUUUGAAGUAAGGUGUACUCUUGCUCAAUCCCAAACCAUGGAACUUCAACUGCAACCUUCUUGUUACUGAAAAUCUCAGCAGCACGGUGGCGUUUGUUCGUAGGGAUGGGUUCACCUGCUGGCGUGUAUGAAUCACAGAUUACCAAGAUAUUGUUACCUCCACGGAAUGGAUCCUUAAAAAUUGCCUGAGGGUAUAGAAUAACUUCACUAUCCUCUCCUGGUGCUUGUCCAGUACUUGAACCAUCAUAAUUCCACUUGGGAAGCUCUGAUGGAUGUUCUACAGGCUUUGCGAUUGUCUUUGGCUUGCUUCGCAGAUCAAUACCAGAUCCUCCGAUCCAAAUAUACUCAGCAAUGAUCUUGUCAGUGUACGGGGUAAUGUCCAAAUUUAGAAGAUUCUCUAGCCUAUUGACAGUGCUAUUCUCAGACUGCGCAGCAAACACUCUAAAUCUGGCAGUGUUUUUAGCUGUUGCUUUCUUGUUCUGCUUUAACAGUAGAGAACUCCACACCUUUGCUGUCAUGGGACUUGCAAGUGCAGAGUUCUUUGGUAUUCUCAUCUGCCAUUGGGAAGAGGGUGCCAAGAUUUGUGCCAUUUUCACCAACUUCUUGCUGGAAAAUUAGAACUAGCAUAAACAAGAACUUAACAACUGAAAAAUUCAGAACAAAGCAGACUAAUGUUUAAUUUGAGACAGAUAAAUCAAAGCUGGGAAAUUUUAUUAGCACAAUCCAAAAGAUCAAGGUGGAUCAACCACAAAACUCACCGAGAAGUAAACCAACCAACUUUAUAUCCGCUUUUCUUUUUUCCUUUCUUUUGUGUGUGUGUGUGUGUGUGUAUACACACAUAAAGUAAAAACUUGAAGAAAAUAACUCACAUCCAUCAAAUCUGUAUAUAGCGUGUAGUUAGCUGAAAAGUAGCAAAAUUGGAAGCCAUACUUCAUUUUCUCUUGCAGUGCUAAACUGGGAAAUUAUUUUGAAGGCAGACACACCCAUAAAGAAAGCCAUAAACAGGGGGAAAAAAGUUUGUGGGGAGGGAGAGAGAUGAGAGUGAGGUCAUGGCAACCUCUUUGUCAUAAAGAGGCUAAAGCCUAAAUGUAACAUCUUAAUUUUGAAUGUUAGAAGUUAUUCCAUUAUGCGACAGCAAACUCACCUGCUCUCGAUCUUCUAAGACUCAAGGAUUCAGGAGAGAGAAUACAUAUUUUCUCUUUGCUUUUCCCAGCAAGAGGACUUGCCUAUAUUAUCAAAUUUAAAGGAAAACACAUAAAGAUGGAACACAAGGAAAUAUAUACAAAAAUAAGUAGUGGCAGCUGGCAGGCCAAGUACAUGCAAAGCAAAAAUGCAAAUAGGGAAAAGAGAUCAUGAGAAAACCUAUUAAAAUAUAGCCAGUAAUUGGUGACUUAUUUACCAAAAAAGUAUGAAUGCUGAAUAGCAAGCUAAAAGGAGAGAAAGUAAGAUUUGAUUCAUAUUAAAAAAAAUGUUGAAGGGAAAAAAGAACCUGAAAUUAAUUGAUGACAGAAUUUCCUCAGAUAUGACUGGAAACCAGAUGCUAACAGUGCCUAUGUGUCUAGCAUUUGCAUUUGACAACAUUUUGAGUCAAAGAGAUCAUAAUCUUAAAAGGACUUGGUCAUGAGAUGACCAAGCAGCUUUAUUGAGGAAGUUAUAGUUUCUGCUCAUCAUGUUAAAAGUAAGAACUGUUAUUUAUACUCAUUUUAUAUGUUUAGAAAUAAAUAGAAUUUCAAGUAACGUUUUUUCUCAUAAAUUGCAUGACAACAAGCAAAACGUGAAUAACAAAAUCUCAGACAAAAAAUGGGGAUUACAAAUGAAAUGUAGGUGUAGGCUCAAACAAGAAACACAGUGGCUUAUGCAUGAUCCUUAGUUACCCUGUUGAAGAAAUAAUCCAAGCACCCCAAGUAAAACUCCAAUGUCAAUGUCCAACUAUAAUAGCAAAGCCAGUUUAUUUUCAGCAAACUCAUUAUAUCUUCUAUUUCUUAAAAACUAUGAUCCAUUCCCCCAAGCCAAAAUUUAAACACAAUAGUGAACUAAUGUAGUGAUUAAGGCCCCAACACAUACAAGAGCGUGCAGAAAAAGCAUGAGUAAAGAAACAAUAAAAUAAAAUAAAACAAAAGAAGAAAGUACAGGUACGGUAGUACAAAAAUAUGCAAAAGAUGCAUUCACCUGGACAACCAAAAUAUAGACCCAAGUAGAAGUUACAAAAAUGCAAGUACAUUAUAAUCACUUGUCACUAAAGAGUAAAGACGCUUUGCUAAAGCAACAAAACCAGAUGCCACAUAAGCAUGGAGCUAUUGAACAUAAGGAAAGCAAGCAACAUACAGAAGAUUUGGAAGAGUUUACUUGUUCAUCAAAACUAAUCUUCCUUCUAGCUUUCUUCAUGGAUGAACUUCCUUUAUCAACCGAUAUUUGUUCAAUCUUCUCUUUGCUUUUCAAAUUCCCCGACAAAUUUCUCAAGAUUCUUGCAGCAUUUAGCAUUUUCUCUGAUACGUUCACUUCUGCCUUGAUAUUUAAUUCAUUUUCACUAGUGUCCUUGUUUUUAUAUGGAGAUGGAAUUGGCCUAAAAUCUUCUGAGCCUUGAUCGGUGGACUCAUCAAAAUCAGAGGCAUUCUGAAAAUCAAAGUCAGAACUAACAGCUUGUUUGAAGCAAUUCUCAGCGUAUUCCUCCCAAUAAGGUGGGAAACCAAACAAGAAAUGACUGAAAACCUCAGAAGGGAACCCAUUUUCAAUUGUGCGUGUCUUGUUAAUGAAGCCUUGGAAAACAACAAUAAUACCAUCAGCUGUCUCAAGAGUGAAAACAUCGUAUCUUUUGGUAAUGGGUGCAGAAUGAAACACACGCAGUACUUGUUGCUCUCUUGAAGUGACGCCGGCAACAGCAAGCCUCUUCCCUUGGAAGUCCUUGUCAGCCUUUAUCAACCACCAAUCGCACAGUGAAACUGUCUUUUGAAAAUAAGAUGUGAAAAGAUUGUCAUUGUCGUGGUGGGAGUUGCUUAGAUCGGAUACAGAAACAGCAGCCAUGGGAAGGUAAUGUAGCUUUUCGAGCUAUUGAAUUCGGAGAAACGAAACCACAAGAACCAAAUAUCCACAUUCCUCAGGCGGGAAGUCUGAAAAGCUAUUGGC